GACGAACGCUGGCGGCGUGCUUAACACAUGCAAGUCGAACGGAAAGGCCCUGCUUUUGUGGGGUGCUCGAGUGGCGAACGGGUGAGUAACACGUGAGUAACCUGCCCUUGACUUUGGGAUAACUUCAGGAAACUGGGGCUAAUACCGGAUAGGAGCUCCUGCUGCAUGGUGGGGGUUGGAAAGUUUCGGCGGUUGGGGAUGGACUCGCGGCUUAUCAGCUUGUUGGUGGGGUAGUGGCUUACCAAGGCUUUGACGGGUAGCCGGCCUGGGAGGGGGACCGGCCAAAUUGGGAUUGAGAUACGGCCCGGACUCCUACGGGAGGCAGCAGUGGGGAAUAUUGCACAAUGGGCGGAAGCCUGAUGCAGCAACGCCGCGUGGGGGAUGACGGCCUUCGGGUUGUAAACCGCUUUCGCCGGUGACGAAGCGUGAGUGACGGUAAUGGGUAAAGAAGCACCGGCUAACUACGUG
rnacentral:rRNA from 1 species